UGCGCAGGCGGAUUAAUAAGUCGGGGGUUAAAUCCAUGUGCUUAACACAUGCACGGCUUCCGAUACUGUUGAUCUAAAGUCUCGAAGAGGAAGGUGGAAUUUCCGGUGUAACGGUGGAAUGUGUAGAUAUCGGAAAGAACACCAGUGGCGAAGGCAGCCUUCUGGUCGAGUACUGACGCUCAUGCACGAAAGCGUGGGGAGCAAACA
rnacentral:rRNA from 1 species